rnacentral:rRNA from 1 species
UACGUAGGAUCCGAGCGUUGUCCGGAUUUACUGGGUGUAAAGGGUGCGCAGGCGGACUGGUAAGUCAGAGGUGAAAUCUCGUCGCUUAACGACGAAACUGCCUUUGAUACUAUCAGUCUUGAAUCCGGUAGAGAUCUGUGGAAUUCCGAGUGUAGCAGUGAAAUGUGUAGAUAUCAGGAGGAAUACCGAUGGCGAAGGCAGGUCUCUGGGCUGACACUGACGCUCAUGCACGAAAAGCGUGGGGAGCAAACAGG